AACGAACGCUGGCGGCAUGCCUAACACAUGCAAGUCGAACGAGACCUUCGGGUCUAGUGGCGCACGGGUGCGUAACGCGGGGGAACCUGCCCUUAGGUUCGGAAUAACUCCCCGAAAGGGGUGCUAAUACCGGAUAAUGUCUUCGGACCAAAGAUUUAUCGCCUUGGGAUGGGCCCGCGUUGGAUUAGCGAGUUGGUAGGGUAAAAGCCUACCAAGGCGACGAUCCAUAGCUGGUCGGAUAGGAUGAUCAGCCACACUGGGACUGAGACCCGGCCCAGUCUCGUACGGGAGGGAGCAGUGUGGAAUAUUGGACAAUGGGCGAAAGCCUGAUAAAGCAGUGCCGGGGGAGUGAUGAAGGGCGUAGUGUUGUAAAGCUCUUUUAGCCGGGAUGAUAAUGACAGUACCGGGAGAAUAAGCUCCGGCUAACUCCGUG
rnacentral:rRNA from 1 species